ensembl:lncRNA
UAUUGAAAAGAUGGUCAGCGAGAAUGGGCUAUCUAAUUAAGGAAUUAGACACCAGGGCAUAAUCCAACACACACAAUCAACCAGAACCCAAUACAAACCCGAUACACACACCCACAUUAUCAACCAGCAUUUGAGCUGUCCUCAAAGGUAGGCUGCUUAACGCAUUAGUGGAUGAACUGCAUUCCAAUGUCCACACAAAGACAAUGCAAUAUAAAACUACAAGGAAGAACACAACCAUCUGAAUCACUUCCACGUAGCUGGGCACAUUUGGUUGGUUUUAUUGGAAGUUCAUUUUUUUCCGUCCAGGUGUCACUUCAACAAACACACAAUCAACCAGCUCAGCUGUCAUCAAUCACAUGAUGGCUGUGUGCAGACUUUUUUUUGGUUUAAAGAAAUAUCGAUUGUGAGGGACGUUACCUAAUACUUUUGUGAAGAACACAACAUAUAACACGUUGAGGAGAAGAUAAAGAAAUUAACUAGAGAGAGGGUGAAACGCAGGGCUUGUUGAAGGUGACCCACAUACAUACAUAUACGAAGCGGCUGCUGCUGUGAGCGAAAGAUAUCGAACAGCUAAUUGCUAAAAUAAGCGUAUGACCUAGAAAAUUGGCCUUAGUCGGACAUAAGGAAGAGAGUGUAGUAGCCGUAGAAGAGGAUGACGAUGCUUGAGAAGAGGCCAGCCGCACUUGGGACCACGGAGCACAUCGAGAUGGAGAUCUUCGCCUCGGAAGAGUCUCGCGCCGUGGUCUCCGUACAUGAUACCGAGGAGGGCUACUUCGGCUACUAUAGGCACCUAGAGCAUCCUCUGGUGUCCGUUUCUGAAGAGGAGUACCUAGAGGCCCAGGUCCAGAGCCCAGCUGAACAGCAAUUCAAGCUGAAGAGAGUGCUUUCUGUCGGGACAGAGGACUUGGAUGACUGCCCCCUGAUUCCAGACUUAAAGGAGGACAUGGAGAUCGAAAUGGAGGAAUUCCCUCCCUUCAACACGCCCGAGAGUGAGCAAGUUUUAAAAACAUCAGCCCUCCCUUCCUUCAAAACACUAACACAGUGGGCCCCGGAAUGUGCCCUGGAUGAGUUCUAAUGCGGUUUCCCGCCGUGGCUUCUCUCAACCAAGUCACCAAAGUCAAAUGGAGCCAAGUAGACCAUCAGAGGACUGGACUGGUAGUUAAAGACGUCAUCUGUCUACCCAGAGGACACCUCCUGGCCCAUCCCGACCGAAAGAACUUUCCUCUGGGGGUUGCCAUGGAAAGAUGUGGUGAGACCCAGCCGGUGGAAGGGAACCUGCCUCCGGAACACAGCCACAAGAUAGAUCUAAUGUGUGGCCAGAAUGACUUUCUGGACGACUUUGACUGGAGAGACGUUACCGAUCCUGAGGCACAAGUCUGAAUGAAACAGCUUCAGAGUCCUACCAGUUUAGGGCUGUUAUCUGACAGCUCUUGUGACCGGUACAGAAGCUCUGAACUACCAGAGAACGACUCUACUGACCAUUCCUCCAUUUACGCCAGCCUGGUCAAACACUACAUCUACCACAGGGUAGCAAGUACGGCCGCUCAGUUCACAGACGGUUUGGACAGCUGCAGUGGUUUAUGGGAAACGGUGUGUACCAACUGGGAGGCAUUUGCUCCAGUUAUGACCGGCAUGGGACAUAAAACAAGGAGGACUAGUGCAGAUUGCAGCUUAAGAGGUGGAGAAGGAAUCCAAACAUCACCUAACAUCACAUCAAACAAUGGAGUGAUGCUUCACAAGUAUGGAAUAGUAAAAGGUAUAACCAGUUUUGUUUAUGCGUCACUGAAGUGGUAGCAUUUUAAGUACGUAGUAUAUCCAUGAGAAGUAGUGUGAUAAAAGCAUGGUCUACAGACUUAUAAGAAUGCUGUUCCUGAUGUUUAGGGGGUUGACAAUAUUUGUUUUAUAUAAAUGGUCAGACAAAAGUAGAUAACUCUGAAACAAUGAUAAUCCAAUGUCUACAUCUAAAUGCACCAGUUGCAGAUGUCUUCAGAAAAAUUGCAGUGUUCUAAAUCCUAGGGCACAUGGAAAUGUUGUGAUAAAUUUGAUGUUUUAUUUAACAUUUGAAUACACAUUUCAUAUAAUUACAAUUUCAAAUGUACGUAUUUACUAAUGAAAUGCAACCAGGACGGUGUGUCUUCAGUAGUAAUGCAUUAUCUGAAAAUAAAAUUAUAUUUAAAUAUUA